rnacentral:rRNA from 1 species
UGAGUAACACGUGGGUAACCUGCCCGGAAGUGGGGAAUACCUCGGGGAAACUCGAGCUAAUACCGCAUGACAUCUUAUGGGACGAUGAGUCCUGACGAUCAAAGCGGGGUCGCAAAGAUCUCGGCGCUACCGGAUGGGCCCGCGCACGAUUAGCUAGUAUGGCGAGGUAACGGAUACACCAAGGCUUCGAUCGGUAACCGGCCUGAAGAGGGCAGAUCGGUCACAACGGAACUGAGACACGGUCCGGACUCAAUACGGGAAGGCAGCAGUGGGGAAUCUUGCGCAAUGGGCGAAAGCCUGAACGCAGAAAGGACAGAAGUA